rnacentral:rRNA from 1 species
UACGUAGGGGGCAAGCGUUGUCCGGAUUUAUUGGGCGUAAAGCGCUCGCAGGUGGUUCGUUGCGUCGUGCGUGAAAGACCCCGGCUCAACUGGGGAGGGUCGUGCGAUACGGGCGAACUGGAGGCCAGUAGGGGGAUGCGGAAUUCCGGGUGUAGUGGUGGAAUGCGUAGAGAUCCGGAGGAACACCAGCGGCGAAGGCGGCAUCCUGGACUGGUCCUGACACUCAGGAGCGAAAGCGUGGGGAGCGAGUCCGG